UGGGUUCAGAACGUCGUGAGACAGUUCGGUUCCUAUCUACCGUUAAAAAAAAACUUAAAAAAAUCUAAUCCUAGUACGAAAGGACUGGAGAAGGUAUAUCAAUAGUGUAUCAGUUGUAUUUUUAAAUGCAUAGCUGAGAAGCCACAUAUUUUUAUAUAAUCGUUGUUUAAAACUCAAAUGAGAAGAUUAUUUUUGCGGUUUUUAGUUGAUUGUGAUAGACUAUCACUUAGAUGAGCAAAAGAUGUAAGUUUUGUGAAAAAUUAAGUUUUUUUGUUUCAAAAAUCAACACUCUUUUAUUU
rnacentral:ncRNA from 1 species